GACGAACGCUGGCGGCGUGCUUAACACAUGCAAGUCGAACGGAAAGGCCCUGCUUUUGUGGGGUGCUCGAGUGGCGAACGGGUGAGUAACACGUGAGUAACCUGCCCUUGACUUUGGGAUAACUUCAGGAAACUGGGGCUAAUACCGGAUAGGAGCUCCUGCUGCAUGGUGGGGGUUGGAAAGUUUCGGCGGUUGGGGAUGGACUCGGGGCUUAACAGCUUGUUGGUGGGGGAGUGGCUUACCAAGGCUUUGGUGGGUAGCCGGCCUGAGAGGGUGAACGGCCACAUUGGGACUGAGAUACGGCCCAGACUCGUACAGGAGGCAGCAGUGGAGAACAUUGCACAGUGGGCGGAAGCCUGAUGCAGCGACGCCGCGUUCGGAAUGACGGCCUUCGCGGUGUAAACCGCUUUCGCCUGUGACGAAGCUUGAGUGACGGUAAUGGGUAAAGAAGCACCGGCUAACUACGUG
rnacentral:rRNA from 1 species